rnacentral:tRNA from 1 species
GCCGGGGUCGCUCAAGGCGCGGACUGGGACGCCCGUGCUGGUAACGCCUGGUUACAAUUGUAACUAUGAUGAUGGAAUGACCACAGCGCCGGACUCAUAAUCCGGAGAUCGUGGGAUCAAAGCCCACCCCCGGCA